AGUUGGGCAGUCGAAGAGUCUUUCGUUUAUGCGGCUUUCGGUGUGUUAUUUACUGGCGUGGUUGCUCGCCCGUUACGUGCCACACUUUUGUAUACAUUCCACUGCGAAAUUCGAAGCUGGGCCAACACUGUGAUCAUGAGACAGCGUUGUCCACUGAGUAUUGGGUAGACUGAAGUCACCCGUCAAAAGUAUCUGUUCAAGCAACUUGAUACAAGUCUUACGGGAUACACCGCGCCUCACCUUGCCGUCGACAUGCUGUAUCUGCCGACUGAUGCCAGAAUAGCAUUCCUCGUCAUCUGUACUUUAAUGACACUUACAAUGCUAGCAUACGUGAAGCUGCAAAUAUAUUUAAACGGCGAAGAUAUCAUGAAGCCCAAGCCCCGAUCUCCUCCACCAGAAUUUGGCAGUCGAAUAUUUGGUGAACACCGAUACGUGAAGCUAAGCGUAAGUGGCACACACGCAUAAGAAUGGGGUUUAUGUUGCGGCAGAAAGCUGCCCAAAAUAACGCUAAGCUUACGAUGCUUAUGCUCAAGAAAAUAAG